rnacentral:rRNA from 1 species
AUGAACGCUAGCGGCAGGCUUAAUACAUGCAAGUCGUGGGGCAGCAUGAGUAGCAAUACUUGAUGGCGACCGGCAAACGGGUGAGGAACACGUACACAACCUUCCUUCAAGCGGGGAAUAGCCCAGAGAAAUUUGGAUUAAUACCCAUAAUAUAUUUGAUAAGGCAUCUUAUUAAUAUUAAAGCUUCGGCACUUGAUGAUGGGUGUGCGGCUGAUUAGAUAGUUGGCGGGGUACCGGCCCACCAAGUCUACGAUCAGUAGCUGAUGUGAGAGCAUGAUCAGCCACACGGGCACUGAGACACGGGCCCGACUCCUACGGGAGGCAGCAGUAAGGAAUAUUGGACAAUGGACGAAAGUCUGAUCCAGCCAUGCCGCGUGAAGGAUUAAGGUCCUCUGGAUUGUAAACUUCUUUUAUAUGGGACGAAAAAGGGCAUUCUUGUUCACUUGACGGUACCAUAUGAAUAAGCACCGGCUAACUCCGUG